AGGGAACAUACAGUCAAACUCAGUAGCCUCACUGUAAAUAGCCAAUAUCAUCGUAGGUCAAAGGACUACUCAUACCACUACAGCAUCGAGAAGACCACUGACGAGUGAGUAGACAUCUAUAUGAUUUUCGUAUUGAUCAUGCUCAGUGCAAGUUGUUCUCUAACAACCACCUACACCUUCACCCUAGUGUCUCUACACUGUAGAUCCAAGACUCAUCUGCCCACA
rnacentral:lncRNA from 1 species